CCUACGGGCGGCAGCAGUCGAGAAUCUUCCGCAAUGGGCGAAAGCCUGACGGAGCGACGCCGCGUGGUUGAUGAAGUCCUUCGGGACGUAAAAACCUUUUAUGAUUAAGAAAGUUUAUUGAUCUGAUCAUGAAUAAGGGGCUACUAACUCUGUGCCAGCAGUAGCGGUAAUACAGAGGCCCCAAGCGUUGUCCGGAAUCACUGGGCGUAAAGGGUGUGUAGGUGGUCUUGUUAGUCCUCCGUUAAAACCCGCGGCUCAACCGCGGAAAUGCGAAGGAAACGGCAAGACUUAGAGGGUGCGAGAGGUGAAUGGAACUCAUGGAGUAGGGGUGAAAUCCGUUGAUAUCAUGGGGAACACCAAAGGCGAAGGCAACACACUGGCGCAUUUCUGACCCUGAAACACGAAAGCGUGGGUAGCGAAUGGGAUUAGAUACCCGUGUAGUC
rnacentral:rRNA from 1 species